CAGCAAUACUAAUGUGUUGGAAAUGGAUGAGGGGAAAACUGUCCCGGAUUUUCAGGUGGUUCAGACAAAUGAGGGAAAGGAGGACAUCUUGUAGCAGCAGUGACCAAAAUGAGGGUGAAAGCGGUCUACCGUAGAAUGGAAUAGCUGUAUAAUUCCUGACCUCAUGUGAGUUCCUGAGACUGAAUGCUUCCUUCUCUGUAUUUCUCCUUCUAAAACUCUACCAGUCAGAGACUAGCGUUAACUCUGAAGAAUCACCCAUCUUUGUUUUCAUUUUCCAUCUUUAUUUAGAUGGAAGUUUGAGCCUGUUCUUCCUCGGAAGAGUGUUAUGCGAUAUUGUGACAUAUAAAGUGACCUUUUCCA
rnacentral:lncRNA from 1 species